rnacentral:rRNA from 1 species
ACGGCAGUACCAUGCUGAAUAUACCGGUUCUCGUUAGAUCACCGAAGUUAAGCAUCAUUGGGCGCGGUCAGUACUUGGGUGGGUGACCACUUGGGAACACUGCGUGCCGUU